rnacentral:lncRNA from 1 species
AACUGAUGAAUGAGUCAUACUGAAUCAUGCCCUUUUGGCUGGGAACAGUAAACCAAGAUAUGUAAAUGAUGCAGCCAAACUCCGACUUUCAGCAGGCAGAAAAGAUGGCUGAACAGGAACUCUGCUAGAAUCCCCAGAACUGUGAACGUGGUGGAACAGUUCAAAGCGGUCAGAGCAGCGAACGCGGUGACGGAGAAGCAAGAGAAUAAAGAGUUGGUUGGCCCAUGCACAUGUGUAACCACCCCUGGCAAAGGCCCUCGCUGUGCAGCUGCCUCUCCUGGGUACACACCUCCUGAUACAGAAUUUGCUGAGAACAUGACAGGAAUUUUUAUCCU